AUGGUGAGAGCCGCCCUCGGUGGACGUGGGCAGGCCUGUGCUGCUCCUGGUGGACGUGGGCAGGCCUGUACACUGCUCCUGGUGGACAUGGGCAGGCCUGUGUGCUGCCCUCGGUGGACGUGGGCAGGCCUGUGUGCCACCCUCAUUGGACCUGAGCAGGCCUGUACACUGCUCUCAGUGGACGUGGGCAGGCCUGUGCUGCUUCUGGUGGACAUGGGCAGGCCUGUGCACUGCUCCUGGUGGAUGUGGGCAGGCCUGUGUGCCACCCUCAGUGGAUGUGGACAGGCCUGUGUGCUGCUUCUGGUGGACCUGAGCAGGCCUGUGUGCUGCUCUCAGUGGAUGUGGGCAGGCCUGUACGCUGCUCUCAGUGGACGUGGGCAGGCCUGUGCUGCUCCUGGUGGAUGUGGGCAGGCCUAUGGGUUUUCUCUUCAUUCUGAACAGUUUUAUGAGGCAGAGUUGGACUCUGUCACCCUGUGUAGAAAACACGAUACUGUGCAGCUGUCGUCAUGCUAAGCUUUGAGACGGCUCCCACCUGGGCCUUGGCGGCCUCAGCCCCUGGCCCUGGCCUCUCCUUGUCACUUUCUGUUCCAGAAUUUUCCCUUUGCCAGUGAUCCCGUAGCACAGGACCACAGAGCGUGCAGUUGCUGUGUGUCUGGCUUGUUUCACCCUCUGGGAUACAAUAUUUCCAAGGCGUGUCAGUGUGUGCUGCCUGGGGGCCGUGUGCUGUCCACUGCGUGUGCACUGUUACUUCUCGUCGGUGUGUGCUGGGAGCUGUGUGCUGUCCACUGGUGUGUGUGUACCAUUGCUUCUCAUCGGUGUGUGCUGGGGGCCGUGUGUUGUCCACUGGUGUGUGUGCACUGUUGCUUCUCGUUGGUGUGUGCUGGGGGCCGUGUGCUGUCCACUGGUGUGUGUGUACCAUUGCUUCUCAUUGGUCUGUGCUGGGGGCCGUGUGCUGUCCACUGGUGUGUGUGUGCACUGUUACUUCUCAUCGGUGUGUGCUGGGGGCCACGUCCACUGGUGUGUGUGCACUGUCGCUUCUCGUUGGUGUGUGCUGGGGGCCGUGUGCUGUCCACUGGUGUGUGUGUACCAUUGCUUCUCGUUGGUGUGUGCUGGGGGCCGUGUGCUGUCCACUGGUGUGUGUGUGCACUGUUACUUCUCAUCGGUGUGUGCUGGGGGCCACGUCCACUGGUGCGUGUGCACUGUUGCUUCUUGUUGGCGUGUUCUGGGGGGGCUGCGUGCUGUCCACUGGUGCGUGUGCACUGUUGGUUCUGCCAUUGCUACUUGGUGUGAUUUGGGGCUGCUUUGAGUGGUGGGAUCCACGUGUGCGUGGAGGUGGUGUCCACUUCUGAUGGGUGGUGUGUGGUUGUUUUUCCUGUCAGCUGCCCAGGGCACCCCUCAGUGGCCACUCUGUGUCACGUCGCAUAGGCCCUCAGCUCUGCAGUGCGUCAGCCCGCGUGAGCAGCGAGGCACUAGCGUCCUCAGGCUCAGCCUGGGGCUCGUGACCAUGUGUUUG
rnacentral:lncRNA from 1 species